rnacentral:rRNA from 1 species
UAAUCUGCCCAGAAGACUGGAAUAACCUGCCGAAAGGCAAGCUAAUACCGGAUAAGCCUACAGGUUCCUCGGAACCCGAAGGAAAAGGUGGCCUCUGUAUACAAGCUAUCACUUCUGGAUGAGCCCGCGGCCCAUCAGCUAGUUGGCGGGGUAACGGCCCACCAAGGCUACGACGGGUAGCUGGUCUGAGAGGACGAUCAGCCACACUGGAACUGAGACACGGUCCAG